GGGCAGCGGGGUAGUGCUUGCACCACUGCCGGCGACCGGCGCACGGGUGAGUAACACGUAUGGAACCUGCCCGCAGCAGGGGGAUAAGCGGAAGAAAUUCCGUCUAAUACCGCGUAACAACGUUGGGAGGCAUCUCCCGAUGUUUAAAGAUUUAUCGGCUGCGGAUGGCCAUGCGGCGCAUUAGCUAGUCGGCGGGGUAACGGCCCACCGAGGCGACGAUGCGUAGGGGUUCUGAGAGGAAGGUCCCCCACACUGGUACUGAGACACGGACCAGACUCCUACGGGAGGCAGCAGUGAGGAAUAUUGGUCAAUGGCCGAGAGGCUGAACCAGCCAAGUCGCGUGAGGGAAGACGGCCCUACGGGUUGUAAACCUCUUUUGUCGGGGAGCAAAGCGAACCACGUGUGGUUCAUUGAGAGUACCCGAAGAAAAAGCAUCGGCUAACUCCGUGCCAGCAGCCGCGGUAAUACGGAGGAUGCGAGCGUUAUCCGGAUUUAUUGGGUUUAAAGGGUGCGCAGGCGGAGGUGCAAGUCAGCGGUCAAAUUGCGGGGCUCAACCCCGUACUGCCGUUGAAACUGCAUCCCUUGAGUGCGCGAGAAGUAUGCGGAAUGCGUGGUGUAGCGGUGAAAUGCAUAGAUAUCACAAAAAACUCCGUUUGGGAAGGCAGCAUCCCGGCGCGCAAUUGACGCUCAUGCAGGAAAGCGUGGGUAUCGAACAGGAUUAGAUACCCUGGUAGUCCACGCAGUAAACGAUGAACACUAACUGUUCGGCCAGAAUGAUGGCUGAGUGGUACAGCGAAAGCGUUAAGUGUUCCACCUGGGGAGUACGCCGGCAACGGUGAAACUCAAAGGAAUUGACGGGGGCCCGCACAAGCGGAGGAACAUGUGGUUUAAUUCGAUGAUACGCGAGGAACCUUACCCGGGCUCAAACGACACAGGAAUACUUUUGAAAGGAGGUAGCCCUACGGGGUCUGUGUCGAGGUGCUGCAUGGUUGUCGUCAGCUCGUGCCGUGAGGUGUCGGCUUAAGUGCCAUAACGAGCGCAACCCCUAUCGCCAGUUACCAUCAAGUAAAGUUGGGGACUCUGGCGAGACUGCCGGCGCAAGCUGAGAGGAAGGCGGGGAUGACGUCAAAUCAGCACGGCCCUUACGUCCGGGGCGACACACGUGUUACAAUGGCAGGUACAGAGAGAAGCCAGGUGGCGACACCGCGCGGAACUCGAAAGCCUGUCUCAGUUCGGAUCGGAGUCUGCAACCCGACUCCGUGAAGCUGGAUUCGCUAGUAAUCGC
rnacentral:rRNA from 1 species